rnacentral:piRNA from 1 species
UAAUCCUUUUCUGAUGCCUGCAUCCCUUAAU